rnacentral:rRNA from 1 species
CACCGCGGUUAUACGAGGGGCCCAAGUUGAUAGACACCGGCACAAAAUGUGGUAAGUACAAAAAGAUACUAAAGCCGAACGCCUUCAAGACUGUUAUAAGUUUUCGAAAAUAGGAAGCCUACCCACGAAAGUGGCUUUAAAAUAUAUGAUCCACGAAAGCUAGGGUA